GUGACACUGAAACAAAGUUAGACUAAUGAAUAUAAGUUUAGCAGUUGCACCAUAAUCUUAAGAACAUGCUAGCUCUCUCUUCCAUAAGUGCAGUGACCUUGGUGGUUACAUAUUUCAUGUAGUGAAUUUCCAAUAGGAGCAGUGUGAGGCAACUCAAGGUAAGGUGCCUAUAACACUUCUGUACAUGAAUUUCAAGAAUAAGAAACCAUCUGUCAGUAUCAAGGAUAGUCCCUUAAGAAACUACAGUAACAAUAAUAUAUACAUUAACUCAACUACAACUUAUAAUAUUCUGUCCACUUUUCAUCCCCAGUUGUCUAAAAAACGGUAUAUAUAGUUUCUUUUUUAAAUAAAGGUUUCAA